rnacentral:rRNA from 1 species
CCUACGGGAGGCAGCAGUGGGGAAUAUUGGGCAAUGGAGGAAACUCUGACCCAGCGACGCCGCGUGCGGGAUGAAGGCCUUCGGGUUGUAAACCGCUUUCAGCAGGGAAGAAGCGAAAGUGACGGUACCUGCAGAAGAAGCACCGGCUAACUAUGUGCCAGCAGCCGCGGUAAUACAUAGGGUGCAAGCGUUGUCCGGAAUUAUUGGGCGUAAAGAGCUCGUAGGUGGUUCGUCACGUCGGAUGUGAAAAUCUGGGGCUUAACCCCAGACCUGCAUUCGAUACGGGCGAGCUUGAGUAUGGUAGGGGAGUCUGGAAUUCCUGGUGUAGCGGUGGAAUGCGCAGAUAUCAGGAGGAACACCAAUGGCGAAGGCAGGACUCUGGGCCAUUACUGACACCGAGGAGCGAAAGCGUGGGGAGCGAACAGGAUUAGAUACCCUGGUAGUCCACGCCGUAAACGGUGGGCACUAGUUGUGGGGACCUUCCACGGUCUCUGCGACGCAGCUAACGCAUUAAGUGCCCCGCCUGGGGAGUACGAUCGCAAGAUUAAAACUCAAAUGAAUUGACGG